rnacentral:rRNA from 1 species
AAAGCUCUGUUGUUAGGGAAGAACAAGUAUCGUUCGAAUAGGGCGGUACCUUGACGGUACCUAACCAGAAAGCCACGGCUAACUACGUGCCAGCAGCCGCGGUAAUACGUAGGUGGCAAGCGUUAUCCGGAAUUAUUGGGCGUAAAGCGCGCGCAGGCGGUCCUUUAAGUCUGAUGUGAAAGCCCACGGCUCAACCGUGGAGGGUCAUUGGAAACUGGGGGACUUGAGUGCAGAAGAGGAGAGCGGAAUUCCACGUGUAGCGGUGAAAUGCGUAGAGAUGUGGAGGAACACCAGUGGCGAAGGCGGCUCUCUGGUCUGUAACUGACGCUGAGGCGCGAAAGCGUGGGGAGCGAACAGGAUUAGAUACCCUGGUAGUCCACGCCGUAAACGAUGAGUGCUAAGUGUUAGAGGGUUUCCGCCCUUUAGUGCUGCAGCAAACGCAUUAAGCACUCCGCCUGGGGAGUACGGUCGCAAGACUGAAACUCAAAGGAAUUGACGGGGGCCCGCACAAGCGGUGGAGCAUGUGGUUUAAUUCGAAGCAACGCGAAGAACCUUACCAGGUCUUGACAUCCUUAUGCCUGCUCUGGAGACAGAGUUUUCCCUUCGGGGACAUAAGUGAC